AUUCAGCUAAGAUCAUCAUGUUCAAUGUUAUAUUUGUGUGUCUCUGGCUUUUACUAGGUGACUCCAUGGCAGAUUCAAUAGAGCCACUUUUCAUUCAUAAAGUUGUAGAUGAAGGUGAUAAUGUUACCCUGUCCUGCACAUACAAAGGCAGUGCUUCAGUAAACUACUACUUACACUGGUACAGGCAAUAUCCAAAAUCUACACCUGAGUUCCUUCUUUAUAUUCAUCAAAGUGGAGCUUUAAGUUCUAACAUUCCUGCAAGAAUGUCUGCUGAAGUUAAGGGAGAUAAAGUGGAUCUGCUCAUCUCCUCUGCUGCUGUAUCAGACUCUGCACUAUAUUACUGUGCUCUGGUGCCCACAGUGACAGGAAAUCCAACUGCACUGUAUGAGCCCACUACACAUCUGCCCGCUUGCAGAUGA